rnacentral:rRNA from 1 species
UGGGGAAUCUUGCGCAAUGGACGAAAGUCUGACGCAGCGACGCCGCGUGGGUGAUGAAGGCCUUCGGGUUGUAAAGCCCUGUGGGGAGAGAAGAAUAAGUGUUGGCGAAUACCCAACAUGAUGACGGUAUCUCCUUAGCAAGCACCGGCUAACUCUGUGCCAGCAGCCGCGGUAAGACAGAGGGUGCAAACGUUGUUCGGAAUUACUGGGCGUAAAGCGCGUGUAGGCGGCUUCGCAAGUCGGGUGUGAAAGCCCUGGGCUCAACCCAGGAAGUGCAUUCGAUACUGCGGAGCUGGAGUCCCGGAGAGGAUAGCGGAAUUCUCGGUGUAGAGGUGAAAUUCGUAGAUAUCGAGAGGAACACCGGUGGCGAAGGCGGCUAUCUGGACGGUGACUGACGCUGAGACGCGAAAGCGUGGGGAGCAAACAGGAUUAGGAUACCCUGGUAGUCCACGCCGUAAACGAUGGGUGCUAGGUGUUGCGGGUAUUGA